rnacentral:rRNA from 1 species
AGCGAACGCUGGCGGCAGGCCUAACACAUGCAAGUCGAACGAACCGUUCGGGGUUAGUGGCGGACGGGUGAGUAACACGUGGGAACGUGCCUUUAGGUUCGGAAUAACUCAGGGAAACUUGUGCUAAUACCGAAUGUGCCCUUCGGGGGAAAGAUUUAUCGCCUUUAGAGCGGCCCGCGUCUGAUUAGCUAGUUGGGUGAGGUAAUGGCUCACCCAGGCUACGGGCAGUAGCUGGUCUGAGAGGAGGAUCCGCCACAUUGGGGCUGAGACACGGCCCAAACCCCUACGGGAGGGAGGAGUGGGGUACCUUGCGCAAUGGGCGAAAGCCUGACGCAGCCAUGCCGCGGGAAUGAUGAAGGUCUUAGGAUUGUAAAAUUCUUUCACCGGGGACGAUAAUGACGGUACCCGGAGAAGAAGCCCCGGCUAACUUCGUG